rnacentral:ncRNA from 1 species
CUAUCUUUGCCGAAAUCUGGUGCGCCAUAAAAAGCGCUUAAAAGGGAAUCCGGUGAAAAUCCGGAACAGACCCGCUGCUGUAAGCUCCAAACCAAAGUUUUUGAAGAAUAUAUCCACUGUUGUAAAAUGGGAAGGAUUUCAAAAAUGGAGUAAGUCAGAAGACCUGCCGGACAAUUAACGUUUGA